rnacentral:rRNA from 1 species
GUGGGGAAUUUUGGACAAUGGGCGCAAGCCUGAUCCAGCAAUGCCGCGUGCAGGAAGAAGGCCUUCGGGUUGUAAACUGCUUUUGUACGGAACGAAACGGUCCGGGUUAAUACCCUGGGCUAAUGACGGUACCGUAAGAAUAAGCACCGGCUAACUACGUGCCAGCAGCCGCGGUACUACGUAGGGUGCAAGCGUUAAUCGGAAUUACUGGGCGUAAAGCGUGCGCAGGCGGUUUUGUAAGACAGGCGUGAAAUCCCCGGGCUCAACCUGGGAAUUGCGCUUGUGACUGCAAGGCUGGAGUGCGGCAGAGGGGGAUGGAAUUCCGCGUGUAGCAGUGAAAUGCGUAGAUAUGCGGAGGAACACCGAUGGCGAAGGCAAUCCCCUGGGCCUGCACUGACGCUCAUGCACGAAAGCGUGGGGAGCAAACAGGAUUAGAAACCCUAGUAGUCC